GUAGACGCUAUACUCUAAGAUUAACCCAUGCAUGUUUAUUGAAUAUAAAGAAAAGACGAACAGCUCAGUAACUCUUAUUUGAUUUGAUGUAUUAGGAUUCUAACUAUGUUAAAUUAUAGGUAACAAUAAUACAAUAAGAAUAAGAUCUAUCAGUUAGUUGUUAAGGUAAUGGCUUAACAAGACUAUGACGGAUAACGGUAUUACUUUGUAAUAUUCCGGAGAAGGAGCCUGAGAGAUUGCUACUAAGUCUAAGGAUUGCAGCAGGGGCGAAACUUGACCUAUGAUAUUAUAUUGAGGCAGUUAUGAGUAGUAUUUUAUAAUUAUUGUAGUAUUGUAAGUACAUAUUACAAGAUAAAUCGGAGGGCAAAUCGAGUGCCAGCAGCCGCGGUAAUACUUGUUCCGAUAGUGUGUAUGAUGAUUGAUGCAGUUAAAAAGUCUGUAGUUUAUUUAUAAUAAGCAUUGUAAGGUAUACUGUAUGGUUAGGAGAGAGAUGAAAUGUGAUAACCCUAACUGGAUGAACAGAAGCGAAAGCUGUAUACUUAAAUGUAUUAUUAGAACAAGGACGUAAGCUAGAGGAUCGAAGAUGAUUAGAUACCAUUGUAGUUCUAGCAGUAAACUAUGUUGAAUCAUAGAUAUAUUUUGAUAUAUAUUUAUGUAGAGAAAUUAAGAUUAUAUUGACUCUGGGGAUAGUAUGAUCGCAAGAUUGAAAAUUAAAGAAAUUGACGGAAGAAUACCACAAGGAGUGGAUUGUGCGGCUUAAUUUGACUCAACGCGGGGUAAUUUACCAGGUAUAACAUGAUAUAAUAUUUUAUCAUGGUAGUGGUGCAUGGCCGUUUCCAAUGGAUGCUGUGAAGUAAUGAUUAAUUUCAACAAGAUGUGAGACCCUCAUUUAGACAGAUGUAGUGAUACAUAUGAAGGAGAGGAUUAAAACAGGUCCGUUAUGCCCUAAGAUAAUCUGGGUUGCACGCGCAAUACAAUAAUAUUUGAUAUUAUAAGGGAUAAUAUAAUGUAAGAUAUAUUUGAACAUGGAAUUGCUAGUAAAUUUUAUUUAAUAAGUAGAAUUGAAUGAGUCCCUGUUCUUUGUACACACCGCCCGUCGCUAUCUAAGAUGGUAUUAUCUAUGAACAAAUUUAUAAAGUGAAUAGAUAGUACUAGAUCUGAUAU
rnacentral:rRNA from 1 species